rnacentral:lncRNA from 1 species
UAUGCAUCAAUCAUGAACCAAAUUGCAAUUCAAAUAGUUGAUCUUAAGAGCCUCUAAUUUAAUGAAAAAGGGGGAGAAUAACGUGUUGAAUUUGCUUGAGUAUCUUUUAGAAAAUCUAUUUUGAAAUUCACUAAUGAGUCCUAAUUGGCUUGCUCCUUAGAACUUAAAUUGUGUGCCAAUUCAUAUUUCUUAUGUAUCAAAUUGUGCUUAUUUUCUAAAAGAACAAAAGAAAGUCUUUAAAAGAGCUCUGAGAUGAAUCAUAAAUUGCAUGAAUUCAUAUUUUGGCAUUUGUACCCCAAUGCUCUUAUUAUCAUAAAAGAACUUGAAGUCAUUAAGAAUUAAUGAUCCAACAUGAUGAUAUGUCUUUCAAAUAUAUAAGUUUUGAUCUUUUACUCUGAAAAUCAAUUAAAUUGCUCUCAUGUUGAUAAAAUACUUAAUAGAUUGGGCAAAAGGUCUUAAAUGAACAAGCUUUCAUACUUAUUAAAGAGAGGUUAGAUUUC